GUCCUCUAAGCUGAUUGGUGUCUCCUAGGUGAUGCCCGUCCCACCUUGACGGUGCUGCCCCCCUCAAGCGAGGAGCUGCAGCAGGGGAAGGCCACGCUCAUGUGCCUGGCCAACAAGGGCUUCCCCUCAGACUGGAGUCUGGCCUGGAAGGUGGACGGCAGCAGCAGCAGCAGCUGGGAGGAGAGCAGGAGCCCCGGGGUGCUGGAGAAGGACGGCCGCUACAGCUGGAGCAGCACCCUGAGGCUCCCUGCAGACCAGUGGAGGAAGGUGGGCUCUGUGACCUGUGAGGCCACCCAGGGCUGCCAGACUCCGCUCUCAGAGACACUGAGGAGAGACCAGUGUCCCUAGUCCUGACCUGACUCACUGGGACUCUGCUACUGGUUUUACUCUGCUACUGCUCUCAGGCUGCACUCUGCAACACUGUCUCUCUCUUUCUGUCAUCAGAUCGUUUUAACAUUAUUCAACUUUAAGUAGUGACGUUUCAUUGUUGUAAUAAUGCUCAUGCUGUUAAUCCUGCAAGAAAAUAAAAACGUAAUUUCAAAUUAAAUCAUA